AUUGAACGCUGGCGGCAGGCUUAACACAUGCAAGUCGAGCGAGGGGCGGACGGGUGUGUAAUAUCGGGGAAACUGCCUGAGGGGGGGGGAUAACUACUGGAAACGGUAGCUAAUACCGCAUACCAUGCGGUAUGCCCAGAUGGGAUUAGCUAGUAGGUGGGGUAAAGGCUCACCUAGGCGACGAUCCCUAGCUGGUCUGAGAGGAUGACCAGCCACACUGGAACUGAGACACGGCCCAGACUCCUACGGGAGGCAGCAGUGGGGAAUAUUGCACAAUGGGCGCAAGCCUGAUGCAGCCAUGCCGCGUGUGUGAAGAAGGCCUUAGGGUUGUAAAGUACUUUCAGCGAGGAGGCGUUACUCGCAGAAGAAGCACCGGCUAACUCCGUGCCAGCAGCCGCGGUAAUUC
rnacentral:rRNA from 1 species